rnacentral:lncRNA from 1 species
AGCCUAAUCGUGUCAUCAUGAGUCAAUAAAAUCUUCAAUAACACCGAUUUUUAACCACAAAAUGCAUUUUUUAUGACACUUCAGGCUUUGUUUUUACUUUUCAGAAUCCAGCGGGUGACAUGGGAGACCAUAAUCCCAACAGUGUACCUCUCUUCUGUUUUAAUCCUGUCCAUAUAAAUACUCCCAGAUGACAGUCAGAGAUUAUCAGGAACUGUAGGAGGUGUUUGACAGCACAUCUGCACAACAUGCCAAACAUUUGAUGUCAUUUGGAAACAUUGUACAUUUUGUGGUGAAGUUAGUUUGACCAUUUUUGCCCUUAAUCUCACAUAUCAACUCUUUUUUUUUAAUGAAUGUCAGCCUUUUAUCGCAAAAAUGCUGUCUGAAAUUAUUUUGUCAGUAGCAGUUGUAACAGUUAACAGCAUAGUUCAGAAAGGUGAAACAAUUUAGAGUUUUGCUGCCAGAUAAGGGUACAAAAGACGUGCCCUAAGCUGUUUGAUGCAAAUUAAUGAUAAUGGGAUGGUCAACAGAGUUUUUAACAUGAAUAUAAUUUGUUUGAAUGUGUGUUAUUGUUAUGAUUAGUCCAAAAUUGCAUGGACUUUGAUCAGACGUUGGAAAUAUUUCUGGGAAGGGAGCGUACAGUAGCCUUUGUUGACCUUAAUUCCAAUCAGCGAUGUUUUGUCUGCCUCCAAACCUGAAUUAGGAAACGCAUCCAGGUUUUCUGAAAGCCAUGUGACUAGGUCCGGCUAGGUCAGCAUUCCUUGCUUCUGUCAGAGGGUCUUUGGAAUGUGCAGCUCCCGAUGCCACUCCCUUUUUGAGCUGUGCUGAAUUCCUCCCACCAGCCUCCCUCUGGGGAACUGCGUGUACAGCACACUACCCAGCAUCCGACAGUGCCAGCAGCUCUGCUACGUGCCAAAAUAAAUGUGCUGCCACUCCAACAGGGAGGUGCAAAGCCCAAUGGGAUAUCUAAAAAUACGAGAGGACUGAAACAUGUCACGGCUCUGCUGGGAGGUGCCAGGUUGCCUGGGAGGUGAGCUGAAGGGUGUUGGGGCACUCAUGCCUUGCGCAGAAUUGAAGUGAGAUGAUGCGAUAGGUUGAACUACAGUCUGUUUUGCUCAGA